GUCUACGGCCAUGCCACCCUGAACAAGCCCGAUCCCAUCUGAUCUCAGAAGCUAAGCAAGGUCGGGCCUGGUUAGUACUUGGAUGGGAGACCACCUAGGAAGACCAGGUGCUAUAGGCA
rnacentral:rRNA from 1 species